GGAGGCCGAGGCCGACUGCGCGGUGGCGUUCGCCGAGGCUCAGAGGUGGCUGGAGGCGGUAACGGAGAAGAGUUUUAAAACCAAGGAUUUCCGAGCCUCCUUAGAAAAUGGUGUCCUGUUGUGUGAUUUGAUUAAUAAGCUGAAACCUGGCAUCAUUAAGAAGAUCAAUAGACUCUCCACACCAAUAGCAGGAUUGGAUAAUAUCAACGUUUUUUUGAAAGCCUGUGAACAGAUCGGAUUGAAAGAAGCCCAGCUUUUUCAUCCCGGGGAUCUACAGGAUUUAUCCAACCGGGUCACCCUCA